rnacentral:rRNA from 1 species
GACGAACGCUGGCGGCGUGCUUAACACAUGCAAGUCGAACGGAAAGGCCCUGCUUUUGUGGGGUGCUCGAGUGGCGAACGGGUGAGUAACACGUGAGUAACCUGCCCUUGACUUUGGGAUAACUUCAGGAAACUGGGGCUAAUACCGGAUAGGAGCUCCUGCUGCAUGGUGGGGGUUGGAAAGUUUCGGCGGUUGGGGAUGGACUCGCGGCUUAUCAGCUUGUUGGUGGGGUAGUGGCUUACCAAGGCUUUGACGGGUAGCCGGCCUGAGAGGGUGACCGGCCACAUUGGGACUGAGAUACGGCCCAGACUCCUACGGGAGGCAGCAGUGGGGAAUAUUGCACAAUGGGCGGAAGCCUGUUGCAGCAACGCCGCGUGCGGGAUGACGGCCUUCGGGUUGUAAACCGCUUUCGCCUGUGACGAAGCGUGAGUGACGGUAAUGGGUAAAGAAGCACCGGCUAACUACGU